AGUGGCAGACGGCUGAGUAACGCGUGAGAAUCUACCCUAAACUCAGGAAUAGCUCAUCGAAAGGUGGGGUAAUACCUGAUAUAUCUUCGGAUGAAAGCUCCGGCGGUUUAGGAUGAGCUCGCGUCCUAUCAGGUUGUUGGUGGGGUAAUUGCCUACCAAGCCUAUGACGGGUAGCUGGUCUGAGAGGAUGAUCAGCCAGACUGGGACUGCGAUACGGCCCAGACUCCUACGGGAGGCAGCAACUAGGAAUCAUGCACAAUGGACGAAAGUCUGACGCUGCGACGUCGCGUGAAGGAUGAAGGUCUUAGGAUCGUAAACUUCUUUUCUCAGGGAACAAGUUCUGAGUGUACCUGAGGAAUAAGUGCCUGCUAACCACGUGCCAGAAGCAUCGGUAAUACGUGGGGCGCAAGCGUUAUCCGGAAUUACUGGGCGUAAAGAGAUACGUAGGCGUUUUAGUUAGUUUGAUGUUAAAGCCUAAUGCUCAACAUUAGAAUCGCAUCAAAUACUACUGAAAUUGAGUUGAGUAGGGAAGAGGGGAAUUCCUGGUGGAGCGGUUAAAUGCGUUGAUAUCAGGAGGAAUACCAAUGGCGAAGGCACCUCUUUGGACUCAUACUGACGCUAAGGUUCGAAAGCAUGGGGAGCAAAACGGAUUAGAUACCCGUGUAGUCCACGCUGUAAACUAUCCCUGUUAGAUGUUUGA
rnacentral:rRNA from 1 species